rnacentral:rRNA from 1 species
AAUACCCUAUUAUUUUGGAUGUAAAUUAUUUAACUUAAUUAGUAUUAGAUAAGAUCUUGAAAAUUAAAGAAUUUGGCGGUAUUCUAGUCUAUUUAGAGGAAUCUGCCCUGUAAUUGAUAAUCCACGAUUUUUACUACUUAUUUAAUUGGUUUACAUAUCGUCGUAGGUUGAUUAUUUUUAGUAAAAUUUAAUAUUCAAUUUUUAUUUAAAUAAGAUAAAUCAGAUCAAGGUGUAGUUUAUUGAUAAGAAGAGGUGGGUUACAAUAAAGUUAUUUAUAAUGAAUUAAUAAAAGAAAUUUAGUUAUGAAGGUGAAUUUAAGAGUAAUUUUAUAUA